UAAUAUAUAAGUGUUAUGAGAUUUCUAGAGUAUUUAAUCAUUAAUGUUUUAGAAUAGUUCUGAAUUUUCUAAAUUAUUCUGCGAUUAUUGCUUAUUCUACAAUUUAGCAGAAUAAAAUAUUCUAGAAUGUUUUAGAGUUUCCAGACAAUGUAUGUUCUUCAUUUAUAAGUGUUUCUUUCCCUGAUAUUGGCAUCCGUUUGAAACCAGAAGGAGUACAAAGUGUUACAGUUUCACAUGCCGCUUUAAAAAGGGUAAAAUUGGCGCUAGUGCAGGUACUUAAAGAGGUCCAUUGAUGACUCAACCUAUCAAUGAGUCUUUUACGACCUGAGUGAAAUGAUCGACAAGAUAUAUGAGUGGUUCCCUCCGAGGAACCCUGAUUUAAAUUUCUCUCUCCAGUUUAACAAGCUUAAACUCAAGUUUUCCAGGAACGACGACAUCAAAGGAUAAGACACGAAUUUCGAAUUCAAAGCUUGCGCCUUGCAAGGAUCCCACACAUCGCCAAUUUUGUGUUUGUAGGACUUGAAAGAAGCCGAUCAAAAAAUUAAGGGUCCGAAUCUCUAAGGGGGGUCUCAUCCGUGACCGGAUGGAGCUGGCCGAAACAGAAUUGUUGCGGCUCCACUUAAGAUGGAAAUUCUGUUGCGACAUCGUUGGUAACAUAUUACAAAGAGCGCCGAUGUGAGGUCGCCGGGUGCGCAACCUGGACACCCGGGGUAAAGCGGGAACGCCGGCGUUAAAAGAAAUUUUUGGUUUCCAGCAUUCUUACUACCUGAAAUUGUCAUUAAGCCAGUCGGAGUAGACCGAAAUGAAGGAGCGGCAAGGUGAGGAAGUGGAGUGGGGAGAACUAAAACUGAACCGUGUGGGACGGAAGAAAAAAGGUCGACGAGUUAUAUUGCCUGGAGAUGAUGCUCGACGAGAGCUAGAGAGCGAGUUUAUCUGUUGGAAUAAAGCCAUUACCUGGAUAGUACAUGGUCAUCCUGGAUCCUGGGGAAGAAUGGUGGGCGGGUUGGCUGGAGCGAGGGGGGUCCCUCGGACCCACUCGGACCCAGUAUGGAGAAUGGACCAUGGACGGUAGUGGAUGAACGGCAUGGGACACGAGCUACGAGCUGCCUGCUGGACCCACUAGACCCACAUGUGUUAUAAGGCAUGGGGUCUGCAUCUCUAGAUUUAAUCGGCGUUUUCGGAAUUUAUUACUACAAGGAAGAUAUUGUCUUGAGAAAUGAUCUUCUUGGAAGUGGAUUUGCCGGGAUUCGAGUUCAAAGGAUUUGAUGAAUGGACGAGGUGAAUUUCGUCGAUAUCUGACAAAUAAGAGCGGUAGGUAUUUAAUUCUGAUGGUGAAUCCGAAGAUGUGAGGGACUAAAAAAUGAAGAAUUGAAUAAUUGAAGAUAAAGUGGUGUGGAGGCUGAGACACCCUGUAUACUUUUCUCCCUUGCGUGUGCGUGUGGAGACAAGUACGAACGUGUUAGAGGGAAGCAUGGGAGCAUGGGGAACCACCGCGAACCGCAUUCUCUACCUGUGUGGUAAAACGCUCACUCAGGACCCCAAGGGGGAUUCUAAAACAAAGACUACUCAACUAUACGGCGCGUUGUUCUAACAUCACCCUCAUUAUGAAACAAUUUCCACGUCCCCUUUUUCGGCCGAAGACGCUUAAGAAGCACCGCCACUCCUUCAGCUUCACCAAUUUCACUAUCAUCCGAUCCAGCCCUAUUAGCCAAUUGUCAUGCGGUUUGCUCUUCCCCAUAAUGAGGAGGUCGACAGGUGCUUUGGUGCUUUCGUGUUAUUAGCUAUGUUCUUACAGCUUAAUAUAACGAUAAUUAAUACGCUCAUUAACCACGUGGCAAAUAGAGAAUUUUCAUGCAUUUUUUUAUACUUUCUUAUUUAAAUAUUUAUGUUUCAAGCAUCUGUUAAGAAGACAUGUUUUUUCAUUUUAAGUGUUUAUUACUUAAUUAAACUUGGUUUAAAUUCAAAAGGCCGACCUAUAAUACUUUUUUUUUAAUGGAUUGCCAACAUAAUUAAUCACCUUAACGUCCUUAACUCACUUAAUCAUCAGUUAAAUUAGCUUCGUCGAGUGCUAAGGGGAAAAGAAUGAACCAAUCCCCAACCGCCCAAAUGCAUAGAACAAUAAACCUUAUUUUGUUAAUAUAUCUUCGUCGGGAAUAAUUUUUUUCUACAAGUGUAUUUGGAAAUUAGUUUUAAUUUUUCAAGAACUAUUUAAGGCAGUAAUGAAAUGAUAAUUAUUAUUAUUUUCACGAAGAUAUGACAAAAAUAAAGUAUAUUCCCAUAAACUUGGUGCUAUUGUUUUACCUUAAAACUCGAUGAAGUGAAGUUACCUGCGAAUUUUACGUGUGCAUAGAAAAUUUAUUAUAUUUUUAAGUGAUCUUCUCACAAUAUAAUUACAUAAUCCGUAUUAAAGAUUAGAUGUAUUGUUUACACAGAUUAAAUUGUGAAUAACCAAUAUUGCUUUGUAUCCGAAUGCAGAUUGAAAAAGUUUGACAUUAAUGAUGAUACAUUUUGACCAAAAGAAGGUCAUUUUUCGGGAGAGCGAAAUAAAAUUCUGUAAGAUCGAAAUCACCAUUUAAAGAUCAAACAAAAGUUUCCCUCGAACUUGGGCGUUUCUGAUUAUAGGACAAAAAAGUAUGAUCAAAAAAAGUUUUCCAUUUCCACGAAAUCGAAUGUGGAAGUUUACAAUCUCUAAAGUGACAGGAACCUAAAAUUGGAACAGCCUCGGUUGCGAAUCAAGAUAAGAAGUGCAAUUUUCAGUUUAAAAAAUAAGAACUGCCUCCCGAGGUACUGAGUUGCUGAAUUGAGAGAAAAUAAAUUUAAUUUAAUAAAGUUAGCCACUUACGAGUAAAUAGUUCAAGAAUUUGGAAGUUCAAAUUUCAUGGAUUUUGAACAUCGUCUUUGGAUAGAGACUAAAAAUAUAUUUUUUAAUAAAAAAAAAA